UACGUAGGGCGCAAGCGUUGUCCGGAAUUAUUGGGCGUAAAGAGCUCGUAGGCGGUUUGUCGCGUCUGCUGUGAAAUCCUCAGGCUCAACCUGGGGCUUGCAGUGGGUACGGGCAGACUAGAGUGCGGUAGGGGUGACUGGAAUUCCUGGUGUAGCGGUGGAAUGCGCAGAUAUCAGGAGGAACACCGAUGGCGAAGGCAGGUCUCUGGGCCGCAACUGACGCUGAGGAGCGAAAGCAUGGGGAGCGAACAGG
rnacentral:rRNA from 1 species